GUUUUUAUAGCUUAUAAAUAGAGUAUUUCAGUGAAGUUGAAAGGGAAAUUAUUAUUUAAAAACA
rnacentral:tRNA from 1 species